rnacentral:rRNA from 1 species
AAAGCAUUCUCUGGUGUUGAAGGCCCUGCAAAGCAGCAUCGCGGUGGCGGAGCGUCGUUUGCGACGCCCAACACACAAAACAAGCGGUGAGUGCUUUGGGGUGGGGUGACUGCGUACCUUUUGUAUAAUGGGUCAGCGACUUAUAUUCUGUAGCAAGGUUAACCGUAUAGGGGAGCCGAAGGGAAACCGAGUCUUAACUGGGCGUUAAGUUGCAGGGUAUAGACCCGAAACCCGGUGAUCUAGCCAUGGGCAGGUUGAAGGUUGGGUAACACUAACUGGAGGACCGAACCGACUAAUGUUGAAAAAUUAGCGGAUGACUUGUGGCUGGGGGUGAAAGGCCAAUCAAACCGGGAGAUAGCUGGUUCUCCCCGAAAGCUAUUUAGGUAGCGCCUCGUGAACUCAUCUUCGGGGGUAGAGCACUGUUUCGGCUAGGGGGUCAUCCCGACUUACCAACCCGAUGCAAACUGCGAAUACCGAAGAAUGUUAUCACGGGAGACACACGGCGGGUGCUAACGUCCGUCGUGAAGAGGGAAACAACCCAGACCGCCAGCUAAGGUCCCAAAGUCACAGUUAAGUGGGAAACGAUGUGGGAAGGCUCAGACAGCCAGGAUGUUGGCUUAGAAGCAGCCAUCAUUUAAAGAAAGCGUAAUAGCUCACUGGUCGAGUCGGCCUGCGCGGAAGAUGUAACGGGGCUAAACUGUGCACCGAAGCUGCGGCAGCGACGCUUAUGCGUUGUUGGGUAGGGGAGCGUUCUGUAAGCCUGCGAAGGUGUCCUGUGAGGGAUGCUGGAGGUAUCAGAAGUGCGAAUGCUGACAUAAGUAACGAUAAUGCGGGUGAAAAGCCCGCUCGCCGGAAGACCAAGGGUUCCUGUCCAACGUUAAUCGGGGCAGGGUGAGUCGACCCCUAAGGCGAGGCCGAAAGGCGUAGUCGAUGGGAAACGGGUUAAUAUUCCCGUACUUGGUGUUACUGCGAAGGGGGGACGGAGAAGGCUAUGUUGGCCGGGCGACGGUUGUCCCGGUUUAAGCGUGUAGGUGUGUGUUCCAGGUAAAUCCGGUUCACUUUAACACUGAGGCGUGAUGACGAGGCACUACGGUGCUGAAGCAACAAAUGCCCUGCUUCCAGGAAAAGCCUCUAAGCAUCAGGUAACAUCAAAUCGUACCCCAAACCGACACAGGUGGUCAGGUAGAGAAUACCAAGGCGCUUGAGAGAACUCGGGUGAAGGAACUAGGCAAAAUGGUGCCGUAACUUCGGGAGAAGGCACGCUGACACGUAGGUGAAGU